GGACUACCGGGGUUUCUAAUCCUGUUUGCUCCCCACGCUUUCGCACCUCAGCGUCAGUAUCGGCCCAGGUCUCCGCCUUCGCCACUGGUGUUCCUCCCGAUAUCUACGAAUUUCACCUCUACACCGGGAAUUCCGAGACCCCCUUCCGUACUCAAGCCUUGCAGUUUCAAGUGCCCUUCCUGGGUUGAGCCCAGGGCUUUCACACCUGACUUGCAGGACCGCCUACGUGCGCUUUACGCCCAAUGAUUCCGAGCAACGUUUGCACCCUCCGUAUUACCGCGGCUGCUGGCAC
rnacentral:rRNA from 1 species